GGCCUCGUAGCUCAGCUGGUAGAGCGUAACUUGUACAAAAGCGUAGGCGUCCAUGCGUGGGUUCGGAUCCCACCGAAUCUG
rnacentral:tRNA from 1 species